rnacentral:lncRNA from 1 species
AUGGAUUUUGCCAGCGGCCUAGACUGCACGCAAGGACUAAGACACAGAUUCAUGCAGGACAUACACCACGGGCCCAUGGAUGGGUUCCCAGGAAGAGAUGGCCACGUGGCUCACCAAGUAGGUGAACAGCAGAAGUGGAGGAAGUGCAUCAAGGGGGCCUUCAAUGUUAUGAACACCACAGGAUCUCAGAAGCUGCAGAAGAAAAGCACCUCUUUUCGUUUCAAGCUUUCAGAUUCUGGUGGUAGAUUCUGGGAAGAGCUGUCCAUUCAACCUGAUUGUAGUAUGAACUCUCUUCAUGACAGAAGCUAUCGAAGGACUAGCUCUCCUGUCAUCCAUCUGAGUGAAGAACUGCCAGAGGACGAGUCUCCAGCUUUUCAAAUGCCAGCAACACAAGUCUCUCCAUCAACAAGAAGACAGCAAGAUAUUGAGAUGGAACCCACCCAUGCCUUCGAAAGAGCCAAUGGAAACCUCUGUAGGGAGGCUGGGCUGAAUCUGCCUCAAAGACUUCACAAGAGCUCCGAACCUCUUCACAGUUUUGAUGCUUUUGCAGAAGCCUUGGGGCUGAUCCCGGACUCUUCCCUACUCAUGGAUGUGGAGCCUUCUGAAACUGCAGACCUCACCCCGAAUGCACUGCUGGCUCUUCUGCCACAGCCCCUGCUGGCAGAAUCUGAUGGGGACGUCACCAUGGAAGAUGAAACGACCAUCAGGAAGACUAAAGAGAUACCAGUUCUAGAGCGGGUCGGGGAAACCCUGCGGCAAAAGAAGUUGCGUGCGACCCAGGCUUGAG